rnacentral:tRNA from 1 species
GGGACCGUGGUGCAGUUUGGUUAACAUUCGAGGCUGGGGGCCUCGCGACCUGGGUUCAAAUCCCAGCGGUCCCA